GGGGGAGCGUGGGAUCUUGGGCUGUGUCUCCCAGCGCCCUGGGCUCUGGGGUCUGCACUGCUGGUAUCGUGUUCCGGGGGCCACCAGUUCCCU
rnacentral:pre_miRNA from 1 species